GACGAACGCUGGCGGCGUGCCUAAUACAUGCAAGUCGAGCGGAUUGAUGGGAGCUUGCUCCCUGAUAUCAGCGGCGGACGGGUGAGUAACACGUGGGCAACCUGCCUAUAAGACUGGGAUAACUUCGGGAAACCGGAGCUAAUACCGGAUAAUCCCUCUCCUCUCAUGAGGAAAGGCUGAAAGAUGGUUUACGCUAUCACUUAUAGAUGGGCCCGCGGCGCAUUAGCUAGUUGGUGAGGUAACGGCUCACAAAGGCAACGAUGCGUAGCCGACCUGAGAGGGUGAUCGGCCACACUGGGACUGAGACACGACCCAGACUCCUACCGGAGGCAGCAGUAGGGAAUCUUCCGCAAUGGACGAAAGUCUGACGGAGCAACGCCGCGUGAGUGAUGAAGGUUUUCGGAUCGUAAACUCUGUUGUUAGGGAAGAACAAGUACGAGAGUAACUGCUCGUACCUUGACGGUACCUAACCAGAAAGCCACGGCUAACUACGUGCCAGCAGCCGCGGUAA
rnacentral:rRNA from 1 species